ensembl:lncRNA
CAAGUCCUCUUAUAAUUUCUCAUCUCCAUGUUGGCUUUCUUGUUCCUAAAAGCCAUCCCUUUCUGAGCUAUUUACUAUGGCACAUCCCAUACACAGAAAAUACCUCCUCAAGCAGGGAGCUUACUGGGACAGACACGAGUCAGUCAGCACCAGCUGACAAGGAACAAUUCAAUACAGCCUAUUCUGCACUCUCUGGGCCUGGGACACGAAUCCAAAGGCUAAUAAAGCAGUAAUCCCUUGCUGAUCCACAGGCUCUGUUUCCCACAUCAUUACUCCAGGUUAUAUCUGCUCUCACCACCCUAGAUCUCCCUUCUCAUCCUUCUUCCCCACCUUUCAGUGUCCUCACUAGUGUGACAUCAUCACAGCCACCUUUCAGGACCCACAAAUGGAGCCACUGAUACUCAGUUGUUUCAGUCCUCCCCUGUUAAUUGCUGCUAUCCCAAAGCACAGAGUAUUUGGUUUGCUUGUUGAGCUGGUGGGGUUUAGCUUGUCUCAGAAAUGCCCCUGGUACCCCCCCAGCAUGGGAGCUGCUUCUGGCUCCCAGGGAGCUGCUGAGAGACUGUAAAAAAAAAAAAACAAAAAAACCCAAAAGCCCUGUAAUCUCCAUCUACCCUGCCACUGCUCAUUCAUCGGUACCAGGAAGCUCUAAGCCUUGUCACAGCUCAGACAACCUCCAGUUCAGUCCAUGGCCCUGUAAACAUCUCUGGCAGGCAGAAGGAAGGCAGGAGGAAGGCAAGAAGACAUGCAGCUCCCUGGCAAAGCCUGGCUCCACUGUCCCAGCUCAAGCCCUUCACACAGUUUGGUCUCCCUGUGCUACAGAGAAGGCACACAGGACCCUCCCUGCUCCAUCCACAGCUCCUGGUCAGCUGCUGGCCCUCAAAGUGACCUGCCUGCACUGGGUGGCAUGGUGUGAACUGAACAUGAGCACUGUGAUGAAGCCAGGCUGCUGCAUUGAUGGCCGAGGCUGUAAAAGCCAGCCAUCCUCUUCUGACCCCAUUGCCCACUCCUCCCUCCAAGAGACCAAACCUGUGAUGGCAACACAAUCCCUCCCCAUGGAUCCAGUCAGUCCAGCUGCUCCUACUGCAGGUUUUCUUCCAGAGAAGAGGCCAGCCUGACAGCUGUUUAUACCAGCCCUCUGUUUAUACCCAGCUGGCUGAGGCACUGCAGGCACACAGAAGCACAUUCCUGAUCUCCAGGCUACAUUUAACAUCACUUUACAACCAUCCUCAAGGGGAAAGCUGAGCCCUGCUCUGCUGAGCCCUGUGGCUCCAGGCUACAUUUAACAUCACUUUACAACCAUCCUCAAGGGGAAAGCUGAGCCCUGUGGUUUGGAGUAGAUGCAAGAGAGUUUACUUUGCUAAGCAGUCCCAAAGGUUUGUUCUGCCCUCAGCCCCAUGGUGUUUGGGGUUUGGAAGGAAGAGGAGCAGAGUAAUCAGCUCCUCCCUGGAUUUUUGAGCUAGAAAAGUGCUAGCUCCAAGAAUAUCUUCUGCCCUGUGAGAGGGUGGCACAACUCUCCAGCAGGCUAAAAUACUUCAAUAUGUGUAAUAUAUAUAAUAGCUCCUUCAAGCUCCCACCCUUACCUUCAGCUGACAUAGCUCCCCUGCUCUCUAAUCACCAAUGAGCAUUUUGCCCACGGGGUUUUUCCAUGUUCCCCUCAGCUGUGUGGUCCUCUGUAGGCACAGGCAUUUUUGCAGGCACUGAUGGAAGCUGAGGGUGACUGUGCAUGGAGAGAACCCCAGCAAGGCGCAGUGGCUUGGAAGAGUUUUCCUCAAGGGGACAGACUGGAACAAGCACAGGAUUGUCCCUGUCAGACAGCUCAUUUUCCUCACCCCUGCCCAAGGGUGAGAGAGCACUGUCUGCCUGCAUUAAGGUGCCUGCACUGCUUAUAGUUUG